rnacentral:rRNA from 1 species
AUUUAGAUAACAAAGGUAGUAAAAAUCUUUAUCAAAACCAUUACAAAAUGGCGGCAUUUAACUUUAUUAGAGGAACAUGUUUUAUAAUUGACUCCACACACUCAUUUUCACUUAUUCCAAAAAUUUUAUAUACCACCAUUAAACAAAUUUAUAAAAUAUAUUUUUAAAAUAAAAAUCUAAAAAAUUAGGUAAAGGUGUAAACAAUUAAUAAGAAUAAAUGUGUUACAUUAAACAAAAUUUAAGAAUAUUUUAUAAAAUUAAAUUUGAAAAAGGAUUUAAAAGUAAAAUAAAUAUAAUAUACUUAUAUGAAUUAAUAAAUAAAUGUGC